rnacentral:rRNA from 1 species
UACGAAGGGGGCUAGCGUUGCUCGGAAUUACUGGGCGUAAAGCGCACGUAGGCGGUCUUUUAAGUCGGGGGUGAAAUCCUGGAGCUCAACUCCAGAACUGCCUUCGAUACUGGAAGACUUGAGUCCGGGAGAGGUGAGUGGAACUGCGAGUGUAGAGGUGAAAUUCGUAGAUAUUCGCAAGAACACCUGUGGCGAAAGCGGCGCACUGGACCAUAACUGACGCUGAGGCGCGAAAGCUAGGGGAGCAAACAGG